rnacentral:rRNA from 1 species
GUGAGGAAUAUUGCGCAAUGGACGAAAGUCUGACGCAGCCAUGCCGCGUGAAGGAUUGACGGCCCUAUGGGUUGUAAACUUCUUUUGUAUAGGAAUAAACCCUCGUUCGUGAACGAGGCUGAAGGUACUAUAAGAAUAAGCACCGGCUAACUCCGUGCCAGCAGCCGCGGUAAUACGGAGGGUGCAAGCGUUAUCCGGAUUUAUGGGGUUUAAAGGGUCCGUAGGCGGAUCGUUAAGUCAGUGGUGAAAUCCUACCGCUCAACGGUAGAACUGCCAUUGAUACUGGCGAUCUUGGGUAUGUAUGAAGUUGGCGGAAUGUGUGGUGUAGCGGUGAAAUGCUUAGAUAUCACACAGAACACCGAUUGCGAAGGCAGCUGACUAAUACACAACUGACGCUGAGGGACGAAAGUGUGGGGAUCAAACAGGAUUAGAAACCCCGGUAGUCC